rnacentral:rRNA from 1 species
UACAGAGGUCUCAAGCGUUGUUCGGAAUUACUGGGCGUAAAGCGUGCGCAGGCGGUUUGCUAAGACAGGUGUGAAAUCCCCGGGCUUAACCUGGGAACUGCGCUUGUUACUGGCAAGCUGGAGUGUGGCAGAGGGGGGUGGAAUUCCACGUGUAGCAGUGAAAUGCGUAGAGAUGUGGAGGAACACCGAUGGCGAAGGCAGCCCCCUGGGCUAACACUGACGCUCAUGCACGAAAGCGUGGGGAGCAAACAGG